GACGAACGCUGGCGGCGUGCCUAACACAUGCAAGUCGAACGAGGUCCAGGGAAGCUUGCUUCCUGAAGACCUAGUGGCGAACGGGUGAGUAACACGUGAGAAACCUGCCUCGGAGUGGGGAAUAACUCGGGGAAACUCGAGCUAAUACCGCAUACCUUCACAUGAUCGCAUGGUCGAGUGAAGAAAGAAUUUCGCUCUGAGAGGGUCUCGCGGCCUAUCAGCUUGUUGGUGGGGUAACGGCCUACCAAGGCAACGACGGGUAGCUGGUUUGAGAGAACGAUCAGCCACACUGGGACUGAGACACGGCCCAGACUCCUACGGGGGCAGCAGUGGGGAAUCUUGCGCAAUGGGCGAAAGCCUGACGCAGCAACGCCGCGUGCGGGAUGACGGCCUUCGUGGGUUGUAAAACCCGGCUUUCAGCAGGACGAAAAUGACGGUACCUGCAGAAGAA
rnacentral:rRNA from 1 species